rnacentral:rRNA from 1 species
UACGAAGGGGGCUAGCGUUGCUCGGAAUCACUGGGCGUAAAGCGCACGUAGGCGGAUCUUUAAGUCAGGGGUGAAAUCCCAAGGCUCAACCUUGGAACUGCCUUUGAUACUGGGGAUCUCGAGUCCGGAAGAGGUUAGUGGAACUGCGAGUGUAGAGGUGAAAUUCGUAGAUAUUCGCAAGAACACCAGUGGCGAAGGCGGCUCACUGGUCCGGUACUGACGCUGAGGUGCGAAAGCGUGGGGAGCAAACAGG